GUGGCAGCAGCCGCGGUAAUACGAAGGGGGCUAGCGUUGUUCGGAAUCACUGGGCGUAAAGCGUACGUAGGCGGGCAAUUAAGUCAGGGGUGAAAGCCUUGAGCUCAACUCAAGAACUGCCUUUGAUACUGGUUGCCUGGAGUCCGGGAGAGGUGAGUGGAACUGCUAGUGUAGAGGUGAAAUUCGUAGAUAUUAGCAAGAACACCAGUGGCGAAGGCGGCUCACUGGCCCGGUACUGACGCUGAGGUACGAAAGCGUGGGGAGCAAACAGGAUUAGAUACCCCAGUAGUC
rnacentral:rRNA from 1 species